AUUGAACGCUGGCGGCAGGCCUAACACAUGCAAGUCGAGCGGAUGAAGGGAGCUUGCUCCUGGAUUCAGCGGCGGACGGGUGAGUAAUGCCUAGGAAUCUGCCUGGUAGUGGGGGAUAACGUCCGGAAACGGGCGCUAAUACCGCAUACGUCCUGAGGGAGAAAGUGGGGGAUCUUCGGACCUCACGCUAUCAGAUGAGCCUAGGUUGGAUUAGCUAGUUGGUGGGGUAAAGGCCUACCAAGGCGACGAUCCGUAACUGGUCUGAGAGGAUGAUCAGUCACACUGGAACUGAGACACGGUCCAGACUCCUACGGGAGGCAGCAGUGGGGAAUAUUGGACCAUGGGCGAAAGCCUGAUCCAGCCAUGCCGCGUGUGUGAAGAAGGUCUUCGGAUUGUAAAGCACUUUAAGUUGGGAGGAAGGGCAGUAAGUUAAUACCUUGCUGUUUUGACGUUACCAACAGAAUAAGCACCGGCUAACUUCGUG
rnacentral:rRNA from 1 species